rnacentral:rRNA from 1 species
UUAUGGCUCAGGACGAACGCUGGCGGCACGCUUAACACAUGCAAGUCGAACGGAGAAAUUGGAUUAUUCAUUUCUAGUGGCGGACGGGUGAGUAACACGUGAGCAACCUGCCUUUGAGAGGGGAAUAGCUUCGGGAAACUGAUGGUAAUACCCUAUAACAUAUAUUUGCCGCAUGGCAGAUAUAUCAAAGAUUUAUCACUCAAAGGAUGGGCUCGCGUCUGAUUAGGUAGUUGGUGAGGUAACGGCUCACCAAGCCGACGAUCAGUAGCCGGACUGAGAGGUUGAACGGCCACAUUGGGACUGAGACACGGCCCAGACUCCUACGGGAGGCAGCAGUGGGGAAUAUUGCACAAUGGGGGGAACCCUGAUGCCAGCGAUGCCGCGUGGAGGAAGAAGGUUUUCGGAUUGUAAACUCCUUUUGUAUGGGAAGAUAAUGACUGUACCAUACGAAUAAGCUCCGGCUAACUACGUGCCAGCCGCAGC